UUCCAGACUCCUACGGGAGGCAGCAGUGGGGGAUAUUGCACAAUGGGGGAAACCCUGAUGCAGCGACGCCGCGUGGGUGAAGGAGCACUUCGGUGCGUAAAGCCCUAUCGGCAGGGAAGAAAAGGGGGAAACCCCAGACGGUACCUGACUGAGAAGCACCGGCUAACUCCGUGCCAGCAGCCGCGGUAAUACGGAGGGGGCGAGCGUUAAUCGGAAUUACUGGGCGUAAAGCGCUCGUAGGCGGUAUGUCAAGUCAAGGGUGAAAUCCCCGCGCUCAACGUGGGAACUGCCUUUGAAACUGGCAAACUGGAGUGUGUGAGAGGAUAGUGGAAUUCCAGGUGUAGGAGUGAAAUCCGUAGAUAUCUGGAGGAACAUCAGUGGCGAAGGCGACUAUCUGGCACAUAACUGACGCUGAGGAGCGAAAGCGUGGGUAGCAAACAGGAUUAGAUACCCCGGUAAC
rnacentral:rRNA from 1 species